UCCCUGGUGGUCUAGUGGGUUAAGGAUCCAGCACUGUCACUGCUGUGGCUCAGGUCACUGCUAUGGCAAAGGUUCGAUCCUUGGCCUGGGAA
rnacentral:tRNA from 1 species